rnacentral:rRNA from 1 species
AUGGGAACGCGAAGAACCUUACCUACUCUUGACAUCCAGAGAACUUAGCAGAGAUGCUUUGGUGCCUUCGGGAACUCUGAGACAGGUGCUGCAUGGCUGUCGUCAGCUCGUGUUGUGAAAUGUUGGGUUAAGUCCCGCAACGAGCGCAACCCUUAUCCUUUGUUGCCAGCAGUCCGGCCGGGAACUCAAAGGAGACUGCCAGUGAUAAACUGGAGGAAGGUGGGGAUGACGUCAAGUCAUCAUGGCCCUUACGAGUAGGGCUACACACGUGCUACAAUGGCAUAUACAAAGAGAAGCGACCUCGCGAGAGCAAGCGGACCUCAUAAAGUAUGUCGUAGUCCGGAUUGGAGUCUGCAACUCGACUCCAUGAAGUCGGAAUCGCUAGUAAUCGUAGAUCAGAAUGCUACGGUGAAUACGUU